GAUCCUGGCUCAGGAUAAACGCUGGCGGCGCACAUAAGACAUGCAAGUCGAACGAACUUAACCAUUAGUUUACUAUUGGAGCGGUUAGUGGCGGACUGGUGAGUAACACGUAAGCAACCUGCCUAUCAGAGGGGAACAACAGUUAGAAAUGACUGCUAAUACCGCAUAUGCCUUAGAAUCACAUGGUUCAAAAGGGAAAGGAGCAAUCCGCUGAUAGAUGGGCUUGCGUCUGAUUAG
rnacentral:rRNA from 1 species